UGUGCUUCAUAACAAACAAUGGAUAGCAUUUGGGAAAGAUCAAAAUUCCAGAACACGUCUUUGUGCUCCUGUGGAACCGGUACAACCACCACCCCACCGCCCGCCCCCAAAGGCCAUGGUUCCAAGAGCACAAGGGAAUAAUGCCUGCUUUAUAACCAGGAAUGGGUGCAACAGGGGUGAUAUUCCAUGAUGUGAACCAGCAUUCUGAACAAAUAAUAUGAAAGUCUGCACUAUGUGAAGAAGAACCCGACAUCAGGAUUGCAAAAGGCUAUGAACUUGUGAGAAGCAGGUGACAGAACCUUCCUUGCUGAAAGAGAUGAGGCCUUGAAGCCCUAGGUGAAGAUCAAGGAUUUCAGCCUUCAGUGUGGAUUACAACUCAAAGUAAAGAAGUCAAAAAUCCUCACAACUGUUAACCUUGUGUUAAACGGAGAAAAGAUUGAAGUUAUCACUGAUCUCCUCUAGCUUGAACUCACAGCCAACACUCAUAGAAGCAUCAGUCAAAAAGAAGAGGGGGGCACUGCAUUAAACAAAUCUGCUGCUUAAGACCUCUUUAAAGUGUGAAAGAGCAAGAUGUCACUGUGAGGAAUCAGGUAUUGUGACCUAAGGCAUGGCAUUUUCAAUUGGCUCAUAAGCAUGUGAAAGAUGCCUAAUGAAUAAGGAGGCCUGCAGAAGAAUCGGUGCAUUUAAAUUCAUGUGUUGGAGAACAAUAGUGGAAGUCCCAUGGAUUACCAGAAGAAUAAACUUAUCCUGGAAAAAAUACAGCCAGAAUUCAAGACAGACCAGACUACCUUAUGCACCUUGGGCAUGUGAUUGGGAGAGAACUGUCCCUGGAAAAGGAAAUCUGCAUGGGAAUUAGAAGGUAUUUAGAAUAACAACAUGCUUCCCGAAUAUCACUUAUUAUAGAGGUUUACAUAUUGCUAUGAUGCUGAAAACUGUGGCACCAGUAUAUGAAAUACCAGCAGUGUCUACCCCUGUGGACAGGUUUUAGCAGUUCUUCCAGACUAAGAUGCACUAGGAAGAAAGGACUGGACAUCCAUUUCUGAAAGUUAGCUGCAACCCAUAUGAUCACAGCAAAACAUUGUCUGAAUCACUUGCGUUGGACACAAGUUCAAGAGGGAUCAAUCAUUCAGUACCAGAUGACAUCAUGGUGCUAAGAGGUCCAGUGAGGGUGAGGGAGAGUUUUGGUGAGAAGACUGAUACAAAGCUGUAAGCAAGGCCUUGACUUUCUGCUGAUCAUGAAAAUGAUGAAGGCCUGGCAACAUUUCAUUCUGUCAGAGUGGACGCUAUGGCAACUAUCAAUCUAUCUGUGACAUAACGUUCAUAAUUCCUUCUAAGAAAUUACCAGAAACUGAGUUGUCUAUGGAUCUGGAAGCCUAAAACAUGCUAGAGCUUUACCUACCACGGUGCCUUUUUAAUGCUUAUUUUCAAUCUACCUUGUCUCAGAAUUAUUUAGUACAGCUUUUUGUCAUGAUAGCUUAUGAAACAGCAUCUUUUCUCAUUCAAAUAACUUGGAUAAUUGUAAUUACUUUAGAGUUCACUUACAAAUGACUUAUUAUUUUAUUAUAUUGUCUUAUUUGACUCAAUAAAAAAUGUUUAUUGAACAUA